rnacentral:tRNA from 1 species
GUGGGUACAGCUCAGUGGUAGAGCACAUGCUUAGCAUGCAUGAGGUCCUGGGUUCAAUACCCAGUACCUCCA